rnacentral:rRNA from 1 species
AACGAACGCUGGCGGCAUGCCUAACACAUGCAAGUCGAGCGAGACCUUCGGGUCUAGUGGCGCACGGGUGCGUAACGCGUGGGAACCUGCCCUUAGGUUCGGAAUAACUCCCCGAAAGGGGUGCUAAUACCGGAUAAUGUCUUCGGACCAAAGAUUUAUCGCCUUUGGAUGGACCGCGUUGGAUUAGCUAGUUGGUAGGGUAAAAGCCUACCAAGGCGACGAUCCAUAGCUGGUCUGAGAGGAUGAUCAGCCACACUGGGGCUGAGACACGGCCCAGACUCCUACGGGAGGCAGCAGUGGGGAAUAUUGGACAAUGGGCGAAAGCCUGAUCCAGCAAUGCCGCGUGAGUGAUGAAGGCAUUAGGGUUGUAAAGCUCUUUUAACCGGGAUGAUAAUGACAGUACCGGGAGAAUAAGCUCCGGCUAACUCCGUG